rnacentral:rRNA from 1 species
ACGGAAGCAGCAGUGAGGAAUAUUGGUCAAUGGGCGGAAGCCUGAACCAGCCAAGUAGCGUGCAGGACGACGGCCCUAUGGGUUGUAAACUGCUUUUGUCAGGGAAUAAAAAGGAUUACGUGUGAUCCAUUGCAUGUACCUGAAGAAUAAGGACCGGCUAAUUCCGUGCCAGCAGCCGCGGUAAUACGGAAGGUCCGGGCGUUAUCCGGAUUUAUUGGGUUUAAAGGGAGCGCAGGCGGCGACUUAAGCGUGUUGUGAAAUGUAGGAGCUCAACUUCUGCACUGCAGCGCGAACUGGGUUGCUUGAGUACGCGGGAAGUAGGCGGAAUUCGUCGUGUAGCGGUGAAAUGCUUAGAUAUGACGAAGAACUCCGAUUGCGAAGGCAGCCUACUGUAGCGUUACUGACGCUAAAGCUCGAAAGUGUGGGUAUCGAACAGGAUUAGAUACCCUGGUA